UGGUGGAGUGAUUUGUCUGGUUAAUUCCGUUAACGAACGAGACCUCGACCUGCUAAAUAGUUCGACAAAGGAUUCUUUCCUUUGGUACGUGACUUCUUAGAGGGACUAUCGGUGUGUAGCCGACGGAAGUUCGAGGCAAUAACA
rnacentral:rRNA from 1 species